rnacentral:rRNA from 1 species
UCAAUAGGCAAAUCCGUUGUAUAAUCCGAAGACGUGAUGUGGAGCGAAAUAAAGUAGCAAAGCGUGUGAGCCAUGUGCCGAGAAAAGCUGCUAUUGUGUAAUGCGUGCCCGUACCGUAAACCGACACAGGUGGAUGAGGAGAGAAUCCUAAGGCCGACGGAAGAAGCAUUGUUAAGGAAUUCGGCAAAAUGACCCCGUAACUUCGGGAGAAGGGGUGCCUGCGAGAGCAGGCCGCAGAGAAUAGGCUCAAGCAACUGUUUAGCAAAAACACAGGUCUAUGCGAAACCGAAAGGUGAAGUAUAUGGGCUGACGCCUGCCCGGUGCUGGAAGGUUAAGAGGAGAGGUUAGCGUAAGCGAAGCUUUGAAUUUAAGCCCCAGUAAACGGCGGCCGUAACGAUAACGGUCCUAAGGUAGCGAAAUUCCUUGUCGGGUAAGUUCCGACCCGCACGAAAGGCGUAAUGAUUUGAGCACUGUCUCGACAAUGCAUCCGGUGAAAUUGAAGUACCAGUGAAGAUGCUGGUUACCCGCGCCAGGACGGAAAGACCCCAUGGAGCUUUACUCCAGUUUGAUACUGGGAUUCGGUACUGCAUGUACAGGAUAGGUGGGAGACGAAGAAGGAUGGACGCCAGUCUGUCCGGAGUCGCUGUUGGGAUACCACCCCUGUAGUACUGGGUUUCUAACCAGUUGCCAUGAACUGGCAAUGGGACAAUGUCAGGCGGGGAGUUUGACUGGGGCGGUCGCUUCCGAAAGGGUAUCGGAGGCGCUCAAAGGUUCCCUCAGAAUGGUUGGAAACCAUUUGAAGAGUGCAAAGGCAGAAGGGAGCUUGACUGCGACACCGACGGGUGGAGCAGGUACGAAAGUAGGACUUAGUGAUCCGGUGGUAUAAAGUGGGAUUGCCAUCGCUCAACGGAUAAAAGCUACCCUGGGAUAACAGGCUUAUCACUCCCAAGAGUUCACAUCGACGGAGUGGUUUGGCACCUCGAUGUCGGCUCAUCGCAUCCUGGGGCUGUAGCAGGUCCCAAGGGUUGGGCUGUUCGCCCAUUAAAGCGGUACGCGAGCUGGGUUCAGAACGUCGUGAGACAGUUCGGUCCCUAUCCGGCGCGGGCGGAGGAUAUUUGAGAGGAGCUGUCCUUAGUACGAGAGGACCGGGAUGGACGGACCACUGGUGUAUCUGUUGUCGACCAACGGCAUGGCAGAGUAGCCAAGUCUGGAAGGGAUAAACGCUGAAGGCAUCUAAGCGUGAAGCCCCCCUCAAGAUGAGAUAUCCCUCCUUCGGGAGUAAGACCCCUUGAAGACUACAAGGUAGAUAGGGCAGAGGUGGAAGCAUGGCAACAUGUGGAGCUGACUGUUACUAAUAGGUCGAGGGCC